rnacentral:rRNA from 1 species
AAAAACUCCGGUGGUAUGAGAUGGGCCCGCGUCUGAUUAGCUAGUUGGCGGGGUAACGGCCCACCAAGGCGACGAUCAGUAGCCGACCUGAGAGGGUGACCGGCCACAUUGGGACUGAGACACGGCCCAAACUCCUACGGGAGGCAGCAGUGGGGAAUAUUGCACAAUGGGGGAAACCCUGAUGCAGCGACGCCGCGUGAGCGAUGAAGUAUUUCGGUAUGUAAAGCUCUAUCAGCAGGGAAGAAGAUGACGGUACCUGACUAAGAAGCCCCGGCUAACUACGUGCCAGCAGCCGCGGUAAUACGUAGGGGGCAAGCGUUAUCCGGAUUUACUGGGUGUAAAGGGAGCGUAGACGGCGGUGCAAGCCAGAUGUGAAAGCCCGGGGCUCAACCCCGGGACUGCAUUUGGAACUGUAUGGCUGGAGUGUCGGAGAGGCAGGCGGAAUUCCUAGUGUAGCGGUGAAAUGCGUAGAUAUUAGAAGGAACACCAGUGGCGAAGGCGGCCUGCUGGACGAUGACUGACGUUGAGGCUCGAAAGCGUGGGGAGCAAACAGGAUUAGAUACCCUGGUAGUCCACGCCGUAAACGAUGACUACUAGGUGUCGGGCAGCAAAGCUGUUCG